UACGUAGGGGGCUAGCGUUGUCCGGAUUUAUUGGGCGUAAAGAGCGUGUAGGCGGCCUGACAGGUCUGCUGUGAAAACUCGAGGCUCAACCUCGAGAUGUCGGCGGAAACCGUCUGGCUAGAGUCCGGAAGAGGAGAGUGGAAUUCCUGGUGUAGCGGUGAAAUGCGUAGAUAUCAGGAGGAACACCGGUGGUGUAGACGGCUUUCUGGACCGUAACUGACGCUGAGACACGAAAGCGUGGGGAGCGAACAGG
rnacentral:rRNA from 1 species